rnacentral:rRNA from 1 species
AGAACGAACGCUGGCGGCAGGCUUAACACAUGCAAGUCGAACGCCCCGCAAGGGGAGUGGCAGACGGGUGAGUAACGCGUGGGAAUCUACCCAGAACUUCGGAACAACUGAGGGAAACUUCAGCUAAUACCGGAUACGCCCUACGGGGGAAGAUUUAUCGGUUCUGGAUGAGCCCGCGUUGGAUUAGCUAGUUGGUGGGGUAAUGGCCUACCAAGGCGACGAUCCAUAGCUGGUCUGAGAGGAUGAUCAGCCACACUGGGACUGAGACACGGCCCAGACUCCUACGGGAGGCAGCAGUGGGGAAUAUUGGACAAUGGGCGAAAGCCUGAUCCAGCCAUGCCGCGUGAGUGAUGAAGGCCUUAGGGUUGUAAAGCUCUUUCAGUAGGGAAGAUAAUGACGGUACCUACAGAAGAGCCCCGGCUAACUUCGUGCCAGCAGCCGC